AUGCUCACUUUGGAAGCACAUAUACUAAAAUUGGAACAAUACAGAGAUUAGCAUGACCCCUGAACAAGGAUGACAUGCAAAUUCAUGAAGUGUUCCAUAUUAUA